ACUCCGUACGGGAGGCAGCAGGUAGGGAAUCUUCCACAAUGGGACGCAAGCCUGAUGGAGCAACACCGCGUGAGUGAAGAAGGUUUCGGCUCGUAAAGCUCUGUUGUUAAAGAAGAACACGUAUGAGAGUAACUGUUCAUACGUUGACGGUAUUUAACCAGAAAGUCACGGCUAACUACGUGCCAGCAGCCGCGGUAAUACGUAGGUGGCAAGCGUUAUCCGGAUUUAUUGGGCGUAAAGAGAGUGCAGGCGGUUUUCUAAGUCUGAUGUGAAAGCCUUCGGGCUUAACCGGAGAAGUGCAUCGGAAACUGGAUAACUUGAGUGCAGAAGAGGGGUAGUGGUAACUCCAUGUGUAGACGGUGGAAUGCGUAGAUAUAAUGGAAGAACACCAGUGGCGAACGGCGGCUAACCUGGUCUGCAACUGACGCUGAGACUCGAAAGCAAUGGGUAGCGAACAGGAUUAGAUACCCUGGUAGGAU
rnacentral:rRNA from 1 species